UACGUAGGGCGCAAGCGUUGUCCGGAAUUAUUGGGCGUAAAGAGCUCGUAGGCGGUUUGUCGCGUCUGGUGUGAAAACUCAAGGCUCAACCUUGAGCUUGCAUCGGGUACGGGCAGACUAGAGUGCGGUAGGGGUGACUGGAAUUCCUGGUGUAGCGGUGGAAUGCGCAGAUAUCAGGAGGAACACCGAUGGCGAAGGCAGGUCACUGGGCCGCAACUGACGCUGAGGCGCGAAAGCUAGGGGAGCAAACAGG
rnacentral:rRNA from 1 species